CCCCCCCCCCUCUCAAAUGCAAAGCGUAUGCAAUAGCAUUGCAUUUGAAGAAGUGUAAUACUAAAAAAAUGAUAAUCCAAAUCCGCGUCUUGAGAGUGUCGUCGUAGCAUGAAGAGUCUUCAAAAUUUGUCGAGUCGCCGAAGGAGAGAACGAAGAGAUGGCACAUCAGAGGUAGACACCGCAUCACUUGAAGAUACAAGGUAAGUAUCAAGAGAAGAUGGGUUGUCAAAAGAAGAUGGCACAUCAAGAGAAUAAAGCAUUGUGCAGAAAAUCAUAGUCCACGACAACCGACGGCGAAAGAAGCUCGGCGGUUAAGGCACAUGGACGUAGAUCGACAAUGCAAAAGAAGUCCAGAAAAUCCUAUAGAAAACAACAAGGGCAAGUAGGCCACAAAAGUUGCAUAGAAAGGAUCAGGACCGGAGAAAGGCUGACGGACUAAGGUAUGGUGGACUCGCAUGGUAUGAGAAAACACAAAAUAUGAACGGAUUUGGUGGACGCAGCGGAAAAAAUAAACUAGAAAGCACACAAUAUGGAGUCAUGUGCACCAGUACAACCGAUGAAAGUCGCGAGAGGUGUCGAGAAAAAGCGACAAUCAUCAUAUGUGAAGCUCGCAAGAGGAGCAGUAGUAAAGAUACCACCACAGCCUGCGGAAGACGCCUAUACAAAUGAACGAGCAUCAAGCGUCGAGGAACGACCCAGAUGCGAGACGGGAGCAGCAGGAGCCACCAGGCAACAAACAUGCAGACCCGAGAGGAACAUCUCUUUUUUUUUUUUUUUUUUUUUUUUU
rnacentral:lncRNA from 1 species